UCCCUUUUCCUUCCCCCCUCCCCCGUGCAGUUCUGCCCUAGUUUUUUAGGUGCCCCUGGCCCAGCUUACCCUGCCAGAGCCGCCCUAGGGGUGCCAGCGGGACCCCUGUGGCCUGGACACCGCAGUUGCUGACAGCCAGUAACAGAAACAAAACUGAAACUAAUUGAAGUUGUGGUGCAACUUCCGUCCCUGCCGGGGACACGGAGCGCGGGCGCAGGCCCCGCCCCUUCCCCACCCGGCAGGGUCUCUCCCCAGCUCCCCGGGCCGCUCGGUGUGUGCGCGUGUGCAUGCCUGUGUGUCUGUGUGUCUGUGUGUCUGUCGCAAACAAGGCACCGCCUGAGGAUCUGUUCUAGCUCUGCGGUGAUUCAGGGAUCCUGAAGCCAGGCCUGCAGCUAGCGGACACCUCGGCGAGGCCCUGCGUUGGGUAAUCCUUGCUGAGCCAUCAGGCAGGGCGGAAAGGGAGCCCGCAGCUGAAGGAAAAGAUCUCUUGUAGCAACAGAGCAAGGGGUAAGCUGUGUGACAGAGACAUAAUUACCCAAGGUCACUGCAAGUGCUACAGACACAGAAGAGGGAGAGGCCCUUCUCCUAGGAAGGGUGUGGCCUCAGUCAGGAAUACUGCCCCAGAGGCAGCAACUGAAACCCCACCCAAUGCCCUCCCCCACACACAGAGCCACUGCUUUAGGCAGUUGCAGUGCUUGCCAGACCCGAGGAGACAGCUUCCCCGGGAGAUGGGAACGCUCUCCCCUCAACUACAGGUGUCCCUGUCCCCAGCCGCCUGCACUCAGCAUCGACCAGAUUGAUUUCAGGUGAGCACUCCCCGGGGAACUUUUGGCACUGGGCAGCCCCAGUCGAAUGUUCUCCCCGUCUGCGUGGGUCUGUGCAUUUUCACGUCCUUAGGACCGC
rnacentral:lncRNA from 1 species